rnacentral:rRNA from 1 species
GAUGAACGCUGGCGGCGUGCCUAAUACAUGCAAGUCGAGCGAACAGACGAGGAGCUUGCUCCUCUGACGUUAGCGGCGGACGGGUGAGUAACACGUGGAUAACCUACCUAUAAGACUGGGAUAACUUCGGGAAACCGGAGCUAAUACCGGAUAAUAUAUUGAACCGCAUGGUUCAAUAGUGAAAGACGGUUUUGCUGUCACUUAUAGAUGGAUCCGCGCCGCAUUAGCUAGUUGGUAAGGUAACGGCUUACCAAGGCGACGAUGCGUAGCCGACCUGAGAGCGUGAUCGGCCACACUGGAACUGAGACACGGUCCAGACUCCUACGGGAGGCAGCAGUAGGGAAUCUUCCGCAAUGGGCGAAAGCCUGACGGAGCAACGCCGCGUGAAUGAUGAAGGUCUUCGGAUCGUAAAACUCUGUUAUUAGGGAAGAACAAAUGUGUAAGUAACUAUGCACGUCUUGACGGUACCUAAUCAGAAAGCCACGGCUAACUACGUG